ACGCUCGACACCUACGGGAGACAGCAGUGGGGAAUAUUGCACAAUGGGGGAAACCCUGAUGCAGCGACGCCGCGUGAGCGAAGAAGUAUUUCGGUAUGUAAAGCUCUAUCAGCAGGGAAGAAACUGACGGUACCUGACUAAGAAGCACCGGCUAAAUACGUGCAAGCAGCCGCGGUAAUCUGAGCGGGCUGGCAAGGC
rnacentral:rRNA from 1 species